UACGAGGGAUGCAAGCGUUAUCCGGAAUUAUUGGGCGUAAAGCGUUUGUAGGCGGGCGAGUGUGUUUAAUGUUAAAUCUUAAAGCUCAACUUUGAAAUUGCGUUAAAAACUGCUUGUCUUGAGUAUGGUAGGGGUAAAGGGAAUUCCCAGUAUAGCGGUGAAAUGCGUAGAUAUUGGGAAGAACACUAAACAGCGAAGGCACUUUACUAGGCUAAUACUGACGCUGAGAAACGAAAGGUAAGGUAGCGAAACGGAUUAGAUACCCGUGUAGUCUUACCCGUAAACUAUGGACACUAAACGGUAAAUUUUUAAUUUACUGUUAAAGCUAACGCGUUAAGUGUCCCGCCUGGGGAGUAUGCUUGCAAAAGUGAAACUCAAAGGAAUUGACGGGGGCCCGCACAAGCGGUGGAGCAUGUGGUUUAAUUCGACGGUACACGAAGAACCUUACCAGGAUUUGACAUGCUAGAUAGUUGCUUGAAAGAGUAACGUGCCGUAAGGAAUCUAGACACAGGUGGUGCAUGGCUGUCGUCAGUUCGUGUUGUGAAAUGUUGGGUUAAGUCCCGCAACGAACGCAACCCUUGUCUUUAGUUAUUUUCUAAAGAGACUGCCUGUAAUAAACAGGAGGAAGGUAAGGAUGAGGUCAAGUCAUCAUGCCCCUUAUGUCCUGGGCUACACACGUGCUACAAUGGGAAAGACAAUGAGCUGCAAAUCUGUAAAUUUAAGCAAAUCUCUUAAACUUUCUCGUAGUUCGGAUUGUGGGCUGCAACUCGCCCACAUGAAGUUGGAAUCGCUAGUAAUCGCCAGUCAGCUAUAUGGCGGUGAAUCCGUUCCCGGGCCU
rnacentral:rRNA from 1 species